rnacentral:lncRNA from 1 species
AUGUAAGAGGCAGAGGCUUUUGAAUCUGGAAAUGAAAUGCCUAAAUGUCAAAGGAAUUGCUUGCUUUGAUAAUGGUGCAUAAAAAUGAGGAAAGACAUCAUUCAAAUUGUUAA